rnacentral:tRNA from 1 species
GCGAAGGUGGCGGAAUUGGUAGACGCGCUAGCUUCAGGUGUUAGUGUUCAUACGGACGUGGGGGUUCAAGUCCCCCCCCUCGCACCA